ensembl:lncRNA
CCAGAGGUUAGGUUACCGAGCAACAAACAAGAUGGACGAUACAGGCUGAUACACUGAGAGAAUGUCCCAGAGGUUAGGUUACCGAGCAACAAACAAGAUGGACGAUACAGGCUGAUACACUGAGAGAAUGUCCCAGAGGUUAGGUUACCAAGCAACAAACAAGAUGGACGAUACAGGUUGAUACACUGAGAGUAUGUCCCAGAGGUUAGGUUACCGAGCAACAAACAAGAUGGACGAUACAGGCUGAUACACUGAGAGUAUGUCCCAGAGGUUAGGUUACCGAGCAACAAACAAGAUGGACGAUACAGGCUGAUACACUGAGAGUAUGUCCCAGAGGUUAGGUUACCGAGCAGCACACAAGAUGGACGAUACAGGCUGAUACACUGAGAGAAUGUCCCAGAGGUUAGGUUACCGAGCAACAAACAAGAUGGACGAUACAGGCUGAUACACUGAGAGAAUGUCCCAGAGGUUAGGUUACCGAGCAGCACACAAGAUGGACGAUACAGGCUGAUACACUGAGAGAAUGUCCCAGAGGUUAGGUUACCGAGCAACAAACAAGAUGGACGAUACAGGCUGAUACACUGAAAGAAUGUCCCAGAGGUUAGGUUACCGAGCAACAAACAAGAUGGACGAUACAGGCUGAUACACUGAGAGAAUGUGCCAGAGGUUAGGUUACCGAGCAGCAAACAAGAUGGACGAUACAGGCUGAUACUCUGAGAGAAUGUCAAGAGGUUAGGUUACCGAGCAACAAACAAGAUGGACGAUACAGGCUGAUACACUGAGAGAAUGUCCCAGAGGUUAGGUUACCGAGCAACAAACAAGAUGGACGAUACAGGCUGAUACACUGAGAGAAUGUCCCAGAGGUUAGGUUACCGAGCAACAAACAAGAUGGACGAUACAGGCUGAUACACUGAGAGAAUGUCCCAGAGGUUAGGUUACCGAGCAGCACACAAGUUGGACGAUACAGGCUGAUACACUGAGAGAAUGUCCCAGAGGUUAGGUUACCGAGCAACAAACAAGAUGGACGAUACAGGCUGAUACACUGAGAGAAUGUCCCAGAGGUUAGGUUACCGAGCAACAAACAAGAUGGACGAUACAGGCUGAUACACUGAGAGAAUGUGCCAGAGGUUAGGUUACCGAGCAACAAACAAGUUGGACGAUACAGGCUGAUACACUGAGAGAAUGUCCCAGAGGUUAGGUUACCGAGCAACAAACAAGAUGGACGAUACAGGCUGAUACACUGAGAGAAUGUCCCAGAGGUUAGGUUACCGAGCAGCAAACAAGAUGGACGAUAAAGGCUGAUACUCUGAGAGAAUGUCCCAGAGGUUAGGUUACCGAGCAACAAACAAGAUGGACGAUACAGGCUGAUACACUGAGAGAAUGUCCCAGAGGUUAGGUUACCGAGCAACAAACAAGAUGGACGAUACAGGCUGAUACACUGAGAGAAUGUCCCAGAGGUUAGGUUACAGAGCAACAAACAAGAUGGACGAUACAGGCUGAUACACUGAGAGAAUGUCCCAGAGGUUAGGUUACCGAGCAACAAACAAGAUGGACGAUACAGG